rnacentral:rRNA from 1 species
GAUGAACGCUGGCGGCGUGCCUAAUACAUGCCAGUCGAGCGAACAGACGAGGAUCUUGCUCCUCUGACGUUAGCGGCGGACGGGUGAUUAACACGUGGAUAACCUACCUAUAAGACUGGGAUAACUUCGGGAAACCGGAGCUCAUACCGGAUAAUAUAUUGAACCGCAUGGAUCAUUAGUGAAAGACGGUUUUGCUGUCACUUAUAGAUGGAUCCGCGCCGGAUUAGCUAGUUGGUAAGGUAACGGCCUACCAAGGCAACGAUGCGUAGCCGACCUGAGAGGGUGAUCGGCCACACUGGAACUGAGACACGGUCCAGACUCCUACGGGAGGCAGCAGUAGGGAAUCUUCCGCAAUGGGCGAAAGCUUGACGGAGCAACGCCGCGUGAGUGAUGAAGGUCUUCGGAUCGUAAAGCUCUGUUAUUAGGGAAGAACAAAUGUGUAAGUAACUAUGCACGUCUUGACGGUACCUAAUCAGAAAGCCACGGCUAACUACGUG